rnacentral:tRNA from 1 species
UCCCAUAUCGUCUAGCGGUUUAGGAUCCGUGCUUUUCAAGCUCCGCAGUUGGACGUUCUGAGCGCACGUGGCCGGGGUUCGAUUCCCCGUGUGGGAA